AUACCGACGGGGGGCAGCAGUGGGGAAUAUUGCACAAUGGGGGAAACCCUGAUGCAGCAACGCCGCGUGGGUGAAGGAGCGUUUCGGCGCGUAAAGCCCUGUCAGCGGGGAAGAAGAAAGACGGUACCCGACCAAGAAGCCCCGGCUAACUACGUGCCAGCAGCCGCGGUAAUACGUAGGGGGCAAGCGUUAUCCGGAUUUACUGGGUGUAAAGGGGGCGCAGACGGCGAUGCAAGCCAGGAGUGAAAGCCCGGGGCCCAACCCCGGGACUGCUCUUGGAACUGCGUGGCUGGAGUGCAGGAGGG
rnacentral:rRNA from 1 species